UCCGCAAUAAAUUUCACAAAACAGGUACACCGAUAAGGAUUUACAACGAUAAAACACUGUUUGAACUCCUGGAGAUAACAUAUGCUUUAUAUAAAGCCAUAAAGUUUCAGCAAGUCAUGAUCUCGAGCAACUUGGAAAGAUACGCCAUUUGUCAUCAAACUGUGAGAAUUAUCUGUGUAUACCUUACAAGCUACCUGUGUCCUUUGGUGUAAUAUGGAAGAGAAAAGCUGAGAACCAGGUAACCAAUAUGGCUGAAUCUUCUAGAGCAACGAGGCAUAUGCUGAAAGCUACCGACGAUGGUAGCAUAGAGGAUUAUGACAAAUGGAUAGGUCGAGGAGCUGAUAUGUCUGGUACAGACAAGAAAGGGCAGAACGCGCUACACUUCCUAGUGAAACAGGGAAAGUUUAACAUGCUACAACACAUACUCACCAGCAAACCGGAAGUGUGUCAGCUGGUGAACAAAGUAGACAGCAAAGGGUGGUCCCCGCUACAUCUCUGCUGUAUACAACAUCCCGUGGAACUCCGAACACUCGAACUGUUACUGACGUUUGGAGGUGAUCCUACCAUAGAACACAGGUGUGGUAACUGUAAGGACCUUGUGGAUAAAGAUGCCAAGGACUUUCUACAUUGGAGGAAGCGUCAUAACAAAGGAUUACCAAGUGAUAUCAGGCUUCUCCCUAACAAGCUCAUUGUUGAAUACAUGGGGAGAUUUGGACAUCUUGAUGACGACUUCACACUAAAUUAUGACAAAUUUUUGGAGGAGGGACAAGUCGAAUCUGCCGUUAUCCAGAUAGUUAUAGCAGGUCCACAAGGUGUAGGUAAAACCACUCUAUUGCACUCUAUGACGGGGUCGAAAGUAAAGAAAAACGGCCCGAACCCAACAAGAUGUAUAGAAAUGUUUCCUAUGAAAUUUACAAUUGACUUGGAUGACGUCACUACGGAGGACCAUGGAGAUGGAACGGAUUAUAUGACAUACUUACAGCAAUUCGUGGACACUGUGCUCAAGAGGAUGGAAGAUUCAGGACUACCAAGAAGUCAGACUUGGCUGAAGCGACACCUGUCUAUCAGCUCUCGUUCUGGUCAGGAGGUUGCUGUGUCGAGACAAAAAACCAAAGGCACAAAUUCGAAGGCAAAUUUGUCCAUAUUGGAUUUUUCUGGAGAUGAUGUAUACCAGGAUAUUCAACAUUGGUUUAUGACUAAUCACGGAGUCUAUUUUCUAAUAUUCUCAUUAAAGGAAUACCCACAUCUGGUCAAGGUGUUAGAUGGUAUUUUCACACGACUUCAAUACAUCUCCCUUUACCACGAGGACGGAAAUCACCCGGCUGUGAUAUUGGUAGGAACGCACCUCGACAAGGUCCCAAACUCGGCACAAAAGUAUGAACAGAUACACGCGGAAAUUAUGGAACAUCUGCAGGGAUAUUCUGAUGUCGGAAAAUAUGCUCUCGAACACGUGAAAGGUGUUUUUCUCGUGGACAAUCAUGAUUUGUCUCAAAAAGCAAAAGACCAGAUAUGGCAGGCUGUCACAGGAGCAGCCAUUGACGGUCCAAAAUGGCGGCGCCUCGUUCCCACCAGAUGGCUAGCAUUGGAACGAGAGAUAAUUCUCUACAAGGACAGUGGUCACAAAGUGAUGACGUUUGGAAAUUUCUGCACAAUUGCAAAGGAAUUGGCGGUACCUAUACAGGAUGAUGAACAAGUGAAGGACGUUCUCAGAUUCUUGCACAAGAAGAAAUCUAUUCUGAUAUGCCAAACAGCUUCGUCCAUCACAUCACAUGACCCGAUAGUUGUGGAUACACAAUGGCUGAUCAAUCAACUGGUCGAACUAUUAACAGUCAAACAGCCUUACGUAUCGUCUCAGUUUGUAGAAAGCUUUUUGGAACGUGACAGCAAGGAAGGGAAACCAAGAAACAAGAAGAACUUCAUAGCAGCAGUUACCCGACUGUCGUUGAUUGCCGAGCCUCUUCCAGCAAAAACAGAAAACAAAGCCAGCUACUACGUUGUGCCGUGCAUGCUACCGCCUGUCAAUAAUAAGCUUAUCGGGUCCAUUCUAGAUCAGGCGAAUAAGUCUUCCUCCCUGUGGGUCGUUUCGAACGAUCAAUUCAUUCCACCUGCACUAAACGACAAACUGUUGACAAUAUUCAUCAAUAGGUUUGAAGUGCUUUUCGAUCCGAUAUCUCGCGAGAGUUUGAUAUAUAGACAUAACGCUGGUUUUAUAGUGAAUCCCGGUUUGAACUUAACACUACAGUGCAGCAGCUCUAUGGUUAAAUUGACUUUGUUUUCAUCCACCGGUUCUCAAAUGCAUGAUGGGAUCGGGAAUAUCAUUCGGCAAUCGGUGGUAGGCUUGUUUGAAGACCCCAAGAAAUUUGAAUGCCGUUUUCUCUAUGAAGACGGUUCAAAGGAGAAUUUCGUGAAAGUCUCUGACGAUGGAUCAUUCAGCAGGAAGUCAGUUUCCCUCAAUCAGGAUCUAUCAAGGGACAUGGCCAUCUGGUUCGGACAGACGCCAGACAGUGCUGCGACUGGCACCAGUUUUAAUCCAAAAGAAGAUCCAGAACUUAGUCCAAAACGUCUGAGCCAUGUUGCAAAACAUAUCGGGAAUAGCUAUGCCGUAGUGUGUGCGUGCCUUGGAGUAGAGACUGCUGUCGUCGAACAGGAAAGAUAUCAGCAUAGACAUCUUGACUUCCGAUCACAACUGACGAAAAUUCUCCUGCGUUGGCGGGCAUUGCAGAAAGGUCGUGCUUCUCUUGGGAAACUUAUUGAAGCGAUGAAAAUGAACAACCUUUCUCACGAGGAGAUGUUAUUAGAUCCUGUCUGGGCUGGUGAAACGGCAAUGACAAAACUCAAAGAUGCAGACGCAGCUCUUAUUCCUGGUAUAGAUCUGUCGAGUUCCCCCACGAGUGACGACCUGGCAGUGAUCACAGGGAUUGUUGGCCCAAGUUUCCUCGUCUUCUUCUUGGAACUCGAUUUGGAUUACUGUGACAUCCAGAAGGCAAUGGAACUCCACCAAAGGCAAAGCGAGAAAGUCUUGAACAUGUACUUGUUGGAAUUCUGGGGACAGAGAUUGGGGAGCAAGGCGACCUUCUCCCGUAUCAUCAGCGCCAUGCAUGAAACCCACUUGGAUACGUCUCAACUCAAACACAUCAAUCCUCGCAACAGCCAUUGCUAAUUUAAUUUUCCCGUAACCACUACAUCUUUCUCCAAUUUCAUGAAGUCAUUCUAUGUUACCACAUAUCGUUCGGUGAUAAGACAACGACGACGCAACAAGCAGAUUUUAAAAUGUCUAACAAGAAAGGCAAAAGUGGUCUUCUAUUUACAACUAUAACAUACCAGUAUGGGUACCAGUGGCAGCCGUUGGAGGUAUGGUUGCUGCACCAUUCGUGGCGACAGGUGAUUCCAUAGAUGAGGCUGAUGAGACCGACAACGCUGCACGGGGAAUCGGGUCACUCCCAGAAAAUGUCACUGGAAGGAUGGUAACCAACCAAUUCAAAGCUAUGGGAGAAGUUGGCGAGGCGAUGUGGGGAGAUGACGAUUAGGGUAUGUUUAAUUAGUUUUGUACAUAAUAAUUAUAUGCGUCUAGAAUGUUUACAUUGUAUAAGCAAUAAUUACUGAUGUCUUUUUGAAUGGUAAUCGUGAACAGGCAUCAUGGCGACUCAUCAAUGACGCGAUAGGCGUCCAUAGCAACAAUGACAACAAUAAGGACGGUAAAUGUUUAGAGUACACAACUUUCAUGUACAUGUAUAUUAAAUUAC
rnacentral:misc_RNA from 1 species